UGCUCUCUUUUCAGACAUUCAAAUUUAAUUGAUUUAUUUUCUAUUAUAUAUGAUUAAUAAUUAUCAAUCAAUCCAUUAAUUUAUUUAGAAUUGAGUAAAAUAUUUAACGUUUUAUUGAAAUGGUAUUAGAAACAAUGAAAUUAGAAAUCCAUUAAGACAAAUUUUUCAAGAUAAGUCUAAAAUAAUUAUUUGUGCAUUAAUCGAUUUUGAAUAUAAAUUUAUUUUUCCACAAUAACUUCUGUUCUAUAAUACAUAUUCUAACAAUGUCGACAAGUUCAAAAAGAAAAAGUCUAUCCCUAAAAUUCUAUUUUCUUUAUUAUUUUGAAAAAAUCUUCGGACUGUGUCCUCUGAAUUUUAACGAAAAAACAUAUUACAUUUCAAACACAAGCGUUUUAUAUACAAUUCUACUUUGCACCGUGUAUUCUUUUUUUUUCUAUAAAAAUAUCAUCAUCCGAUUGAAUAUGAUUUAUGGAAUUGAAAAUUCUGUCUCAGCAGUUUGGGAUCGAAUUUUGCAAAUUCUUCAAUAUAUCGUGAUUAUCGUAACUUGGAUCAAUUUUGGUUUUCGUCAGAAAAAAAUUAAGAAAAUAGUGAAACAUUUUCAUAGAACUAGUGAAAUUGCUGAAAAUUUAGGAAUACGAAACGAUAAUACUGAAAUAUGCCGAAUAAUUACUAAUUAUACAUUAAUUAUUAAUUUUCUUUAUUUUUCCCUUUUUUCCCUACAAUUACAUUUAAAUAUAAUGUUUCCCUCGGAUAGGGAGAAAUUUUAUUCUGGAAUAAAUUCUUUUUUUCGUAUUAUUUAUCAUAAUAUGUUCUUUCUCUUUGUGUCGGCUCUACAUAUUAUUUAUCGACGUUUUCGACAAUUGAAUAUUCAUGUUAAAUUUUUUAAGUUAUCGAAAAUUUCACGUAAACCACUUUACAGAGUUCUAAAUUAUCAAAUUUCAUUGACGAUGGAAAAAUACGGAAUAUUACACAACGAAUUACUUGAUCUUUUGGAUAAUAUAACGGAAUUUUUUUUCCUGCCAAUGUUAUUGACAAUGGCGACAAAUUUUCUCCAUAUUGUUGCAGCAAUAAAUGUCUUAUAUCUCAUAUUUCAAAAACUUGAAGAAUUUAACGCUAUGCUCCUGAAUAUAAUUUUUUACCUCUUAAUGUGGAUUUUCAUCAUUAAUUUCGAAUUUUUAGUAAUAUCUUCUGUUUCGGCCAAUUUGUGCGAAACGGCGAAUAAUUUUGGUAAUUGUCUUCAUAGAAUGUGGAUAACUUAUAACCCAGUUAAUUGUAAAAAAAUUUUCAAAAAAGUUUCUCUAAUGGUAAUUCAGAGAAGAGCUAAAGUUUCUCUAUGUGGAUUUCUAUCAAUGGACAAUGGAUUUUUUUAUCAGACUUGCGGAAUGAUUACAACCUAUCUUAUUAUUUUAUUGCAACUUGAUGACUUUCGAUAAUUUCUGUAUAUAUUCAUUAAAAAAACGAUGUUUACAAAACUUUCAAUCAAUUGACAUUGUGGGCAAUUAAUUCGAUUUUUCGAAUUUUAUAUCAUAAUAUGAUGUUUCUUUUUAUAACGAUUUUACAUAUUAUUUAUCGACGCUUUCGACAAUUGAAUAUUCAUUUAAAAUGUUUUAUUGUAUUUCACAAAAAUUCAGAGGAAGCACCUUCCAGUGAAGAGAAUGAUACAUCAUCAGAAGAUGAAAAUGAGGAGAUAAGAGAUGAAUAUUAUCUGAAAAUUUUGAAACCAAUUUUCAAAGGAAACAAUACUUUCGACGAGCAAUUGAAAUCAUUCUUGAGUGUAACUGCGUUAAAUGAAGUUGAAAUUGCAGCUUUUUAAUGAACCAAUUUGUCAGAAGUUGAAUCAAUUGUUUCGUCAAUCUUAUCCAUUGUCUGCGGCGCAUAGAUUUGGUUCAACGGUAACUGGAAUUAGUUUUCAAAACUGCGAUUUGGACAUAUAUUUGAACAUAGGUGAAUCAAUAAUUAGCAUCAAGGAUAAUAAGGAAAUGUUGGAUGAAAUAUUCUUGGAAGUGACGAACAUCUUGUUGAAAAAUGAAUUAUUUUACAAUAUUGUUCCCGUUUCGAAAGCUCGAGUACCAAUAAUUAAAUUUGUUCACGAACCAACGCAAAUUUGCUGCGAUUUAUCAUUCAACGGUUUGGGAUAUUACAACAGUCUUCUAAUAAAACAUUAUCUAUCGUUUCGACAGCAAACCCUGUGAAUGUAUGAGGGAGGAUUGGGUUCUAAUGACACCUGCUGGCAAGACAACAUAAGGCCAAUCAAUUUUUUUUUUUUUUAAAUAAUCUUCUUCGUAGCCAAUGAAUUUCUUUUGAUUAUGAGAUUCUUUCUUUUUUUCUUUCACUCAAAUAAAUAAUAUUUUUAAAAAUUCAAUAUUGUGCAAAAAUCCCAAAAAAGAAGAAUAAUAAAAGAACGAAAGUUUACUAUUUAAUUCCUCAUUAUUCCGAGUCAUCCUCAACAAUUUUUUCGAAAUCUGAUCAACAUUCAAUUCAUCGUGACUAAAUGAAAUGCCGAGAAUUUGUGCAAUCUCAGUUUUUAAACGUGUUAAACAUUCAUUUAGUUCGCGUCGGAAAUUUUUUGCAAUAUCAAUAUCCUUUUCAAUUGUUUCCGAAAUAAUUUCCUUUAUUUUUUGUUUCUCAUUACUUGACGGUGAAUUAUCGUCACAUUGUGAAUUUAAUUUCUGAGGUGUUCUUCUCUCGAGGACUUCACUUCACUGAUAAAUGAAUUAUUCACUUCGUCCUCGCAAAUUGCAAAGUAAUUUAUCAAAUCAGUAAUUACGUUCUUCAAUGUUUUGCAAGUUCUGAUUAAGUUGUUUCUGAAAAAAUU